CCUACGGGAGGCAGCAGUGAGGAAUAUUGGUCAAUGGACGAGAGUCUGAACCAGCCAAGUAGCGUGAAGGAUGACUGCCCUAUGGGUUGUAAACUUCUUUUAUAUGGGAAUAAAACAGGGUAUGCAUACCCUCUUGUAUGUACCAUAUGAAUAAGGAUCGGCUAACUCCGUGCCAGCAGCCGCGGUAAUACGGAGGAUCCGAGCGUUAUCCGGAUUUAUUGGGUUUAAAGGGAGCGUAGGUGGAUUGUUAAGUCAGUUGUGAAAGUUUGCGGCUCAACCGUAAAAGUGCAGUUGAAACUGGCAGUCUUGAGUGCAGUAGAGGUGUGCGGAAUUCGUGGUGUAGCGGUGAAAUGCUUAGAUAUCACGAAGAACUCCGAUUGCGAAGGCAGCUCACUGGACUGCAACUGACACUGAUGCUCGAAAGUGUGGGUAUCGAACAGGAUUAGAUACCCCUGUAGUC
rnacentral:rRNA from 1 species